rnacentral:rRNA from 1 species
CCUACGGGGGGCAGCAGUGGGGGAUAUUGCACAAUGGGCGCAAGCCUGAUGCAGCGACGCCGCGUGGGGGAUGACGGCUUUCGGGUUGUAAACCUCUUUCGUCGGGGGACAAGGCUCUGCUUGGUGGUGGGGUUGAGGGUACCCGGUGAAGAAGCGCCGGCUAACUACGUGCCAGCAGCCGCGGUAAUACGUAGGGCGCGAGCGUUGUCCGGAAUUAUUGGGCGUAAAGGGCUCGUAGGCGGCUUGUCGCGUCUGCUGUGAAAAUGCGGGGCUUAACUCCGUACGUGCAGUGGGUACGGGCAGGCUAGAGUGCGGUAGGGGUGACUGGAAUUCCUGGUGUAGCGGUGGAAUGCGCAGAUAUCAGGAGGAACACCGAUGGCGAAGGCAGGUCACUGGGCUGUUACUGACGCUGAGGAGCGAAAGCGUGGGGAGCGAACAGGAUUAGAUACCCUUGUAGUC